rnacentral:rRNA from 1 species
AUUGAACGCUGGCGGCAUGCCUUACACAUGCAAGUCGAACGGCAGCGCGGACUUCGGUCUGGCGGCGAGUGGCGAACGGGUGAGUAAUACAUCGGAACGUACCCUGUUGUGGGGGAUAACUAGUCGAAAGAUUAGCUAAUACCGCAUACGACCUGAGGGUGAAAGUGGGGGACCGCAAGGCCUCACGCAGCAGGAGCGGCCGAUGUCUGAUUAGCUAGGUGGUGGGGUAAAGGCCCACCAAGGGCAGGAUCAGUAGCUGGUCUGAGAGGACGAGCAGACACACGGGGACUGAGAAGCGGCCCAAACUCCUACGGGAGGCAGCAGUGGGGAAUUUUGGACAAUGGGGGCAACCCUGAUCCAGCAAUGCCGCGUGUGUGAAGAAGGCCUUCGGGUUGUAAAGCACUUUUGUCCGGAAAGAAAUCGCGCUGGUUAAUACCUGGCGUGGAUGACGGUACCGGAAGAAUAAGCACCGGCUACUACGUGCCAGCCGCCGCAGUAA